rnacentral:misc_RNA from 1 species
AAGUCGUAACAAGGUUUCCGUAGGUGAACCUGCGGAAGGAUCAUUAAAAGGAUCGUCUGGCAGCUGGUAGCCCUCGUGGUUGCCAGUCCUUGCGCCCUCGGGAGCAAAGCCAAUAUGGAUCGUCGCGCUGUUGCCAGUGAGCACCUAACCGUGCGGAAAGCAGGCCCUGGGACCGGGUCCCUGUGGUGCGGCCUUCGGGCUGCCGGCGGGCUGUUCUAACCCUCUGUUUAUGUAUACCUUUGUAGCUUCCUCGGCGGGCUUGCCCGCCGCUAGGAACCAACUAUAACCUUUUGCAUUAGCAUCUAAACCUCUGAUAAAAAACUUAAUUAUUACAA